rnacentral:rRNA from 1 species
AAUGAACGCUGGCGGCAUGCCUAACACAUGCAAGUCGAACGAAGGCUUCGGCCUUAGUGGCGCACGGGUGCGUAACGCGUGGGAAUCUGCCCCUUGGUUCGGAAUAACAGUUAGAAAUGACUGCUAAUACCGGAUGAUGACGUAAGUCCAAAGAUUUAUCGCCGAGGGAUGAGCCCGCGUAGGAUUAGCUAGUUGGUGUGGUAAGAGCGCACCAAGGCGACGAUCCUUAGCUGGUCUGAGAGGAUGAUCAGCCACACUGGGACUGAGACACGGCCCAGACUCCUACGGGAGGGAGCAGUGGGGAAUAUUGGACAAUGGGCGAAAGCCUGAUCCAGCAAUGCCGCGUGAGUGAUGAAGGCCUUAGGGUUGUAAAGCUCUUUUACCCGGGAUGAUAAUGACAGUACCGGGAGAAUAAGCUCCGGCUAACUCCGUG